CUACUCUUGAAGAUAAGUUUGGUGGAGUGAGACCAUUCCACCUUUUUGAGGUGGGGUACACUCUUCUAGAUUGCUCUAAAGAGAAUUAGGCUUUUGUCUAUGACUUAUGUAGACAGAGUUAUUUUGUAUAAACUUUAUACUUAAUCUAUUUAUUUUUACUUUAAAAAAAACAUUAAUAUCCUGUGAUGGCAGUAUGAAGCUACAAAAGAACUUACAAACAAUCGACGUUAAGCAACCAGCAAUCAACAUAAGGCAUAUAAGUGCAAAGGUACAUACAAUGACACAUUUGUUCAGUCACUCCAAUCUGUCAAACCAAACCUAAUGUAGAAAACCAUUGAAAUAAGAACAACGAAAUAUAACAAGGUAGGGGUGGUCGAUUAGCAAAACCCUCAAACUGAACCUUAUCUGAGACAAACUAUAAUCAACAUCUGCCAUUAGCAAAACA
rnacentral:lncRNA from 1 species